rnacentral:rRNA from 1 species
AGAAUCAACGCUGGCGGCGUGCCUAACACAUGCAAGUCGCACGAGAAAGGGGAGCAAUCCCUGAGUAAAGUGGCGCACGGGUGAGUAACACGUGAAUCAUCUACCUCCGAGUGGGGAAUAAACCUAGAGAAAUCUGGGCUAAUACCGCAUAACACUUACGAGUCAAAGCAGCAAUGCGCUUGGAGAGGAGUUCGCGGCCGAUUAGUUAGUUGGCGGGGUAAUGGCCCACCAAGACGAUGAUCGGUA